ACUUAUCCUUAUGGCCUUGACGCAGGUGAUUAAUUGAAAGCGGUCACUAAAUCCGCAAAGUAACUACCAGAACGUACUCGUGUAGAGCGGAAAGUAAAUAUUUGCAUUGAUGGGCCCUUCUAAUAAGGAACUCAUGCUCGAGAUUUGAUCGCGUCUUGUCACAAAGGCAUUGGUGCUGAGAGCACCAUCUGACUUCAGAAGAUGAAAACUCCAACAACAAUACCAUGGUGCACUGAAAUGAAGAGAUUUGCAGAUGGAUCACAGAGCGGGUUUAUCUACAGAGGGAGAAGAGGACAGACAUUAAUGUUGCAAUGUCUCUUCCACUUCUGAACACCCAGGGAUUCCAGCCUGAAUAAAACUGCAAUCUAUAGAAGGUCCUGGCUCACUCAUUGACUGCUUCUGUCUCAGAUGACGUUCAGGAUCUAUUACCAAACCACAUGAAACAAUGUGAGAACACUGUAGAUCGCAAUCUUAUCAAAGUUUUGUGCGGAUCUUUUUUCCUCUAACUGAGGCAUUACUGUGUUGUCAAGGUUGUAGGCGUGACAACCUCUACAUGGUCAGACAGGGGCUAUAGAAAACUGAGGAAGUGAGUUCACAAAGGCCUUGCUUUUUUCAGGAAAACUGACAAAGAGCAACAUAAUGCCAUUUUUUGCAUUGUUGGAUUUCUCGCUUUGAAUACAUGUUUAGUA